AUUGAACGCUGGCGGCAGGCCUAACACAUGCAAGUCGAGCGGUAGCACAGAGAGCUUGCUCUCGGGUGACGAGCGGCGGACGGGUGAGUAAUGUCUGGGAAACUGCCUGAUGGAGGGGGAUAACUACUGGAAACGGUAGCUAAUACCGCAUAAUGUCGCAAGACCAAAGAGGGGGACCUUCGGGCCUCUUGCCAUCAGAUGUGCCCAGAUGGGAUUAGCUAGUAGGUGGGGUAAUGGCUCACCUAGGCGACGAUCCCUAGCUGGUCUGGGAGGAUGACCAGCCACCCUGGAACGGAGAACCGGUCCAGACUCCUACGGGAGGCAGCAGUGGGGAAUAUUGCACAUUGGGCGCAAGGCUGAUGCAGCCCUGCCGCGUGUGUGAAGAAGGCCUUCGGGUUGUAAAGCACUUUCAGCGAGGAGGAAGGCAUUAGGGUUAAUAACCUUAGUGAUUGACGUUACUCGCAGAAGAAGCACCGGCUAACUCCGUGCCAGCCGCCGCAGUAA
rnacentral:rRNA from 1 species